rnacentral:rRNA from 1 species
UAAGCCAUGCGAGUCAUGGGGCGCGCUCUGCGCGCACCGGCGGACGGCUCAGUAACACGUCGGUAACCUACCCUCGGGAGGGGGAUAACCCCGGGAAACUGGGGCUAAUCCCCCAUAGGCCUGAGGUACUGGAAGGUCCUCAGGCCGAAAGGGUCUCUGACCGCCCGAGGAUGGGCCGGCGGCCGAUUAGGUAGUUGGUGGGGUAACGGCCCACCAAGCCGAAGAUCGGUACGGGCCAUGAGAGUGGGAGCCCGGAGAUGGACACUGAGACACGGGUCCAGGCCCUACGGGGCGCAGCAGGCGCGAAACCUCCGCAAUGCGGGCAACCGCGACGGGGGGACCCCCAGUGCCGUGGCAUAGCCACGGCUUUUCCGGAGUGUAAAAAGCUCCGGGAAUAAGGGCUGGGCAAGGCCGGUGGCAGCCGCCGCGGUAAUACCGGCGGCCCGAGUGGUGGCCGCUAUUAUUGGGCCUAAAGCGUCCGUAGCCGGGCCCGUAAGUCCCUGGCGAAAUCCCACGGCUCAACCGUGGGGCUUGCUGGGGAUACUGCGGGCCUUGGGACCGGGAGAGGCCGGGGGUACCCCUGGGGUAGGGGUGAAAUCCUAUAAUCCCAGGGGGACCGCCAGUGGCGAAGGCGCCCGGCUGGAACGGGUCCGACGGUGAGGGACGAAGGCCAGGGGAGCGAACCGGAUUAGAUACCCGGGUAGUCCUGGCUGUAAAGGAUGCGGGCUAGGUGUCGGGCGAGCUUCGUGCUCGCCCGGUGCCGGAGGGAAGCCGUUAAGCCCGCCGCCUGGGGAGUACGGCCGCAAGGCUGAAACUUAAAGGAAUUGGCGGGGGAGCACUACAAGGGGUGGAGCGUGCGGUUUAAUUGGAUUCAACGCCGGGAACCUCACCGGGGGCGACGGCAGGAUGAAGGCCAGGCUGAAGGUCUUGCCGGACACGCCGAGAGGAGGUGCAUGGCCGCCGUCAGCUCGUACCGUGAGGCGUCCACUUAAGUGUGGUAACGAGCGAGACCCGCGCCCCCAGUUGCCAG